UCCUGUGAGGACACACCACAUUCAGGGGACGUCCACACAUCUUUGGAGCACGUAAACUGGAAAACUGUCCACAUCACUCAUUUCAUCCUCCAGCUCUCUCGUCGUUCAUCAUUCUCCACCGAUCAUCACUUAAAGAUAUGAGAAGUGUCCCGUCCACAGCUGACGGCUCAGAAAUAUAUCAGGAUGCUUUAUGUGGAAUCCACAGCGGGGAAAGGGCAGGCGGGCGAACGGCGUUCACGUAAUGAAAAAGGAGGCGCGAGGCUGAGGAGGAG